rnacentral:tRNA from 1 species
AUUGUAGCGGUGAGCACUUCGGACUUUGAAUCCGGCAACCCGAGUUCGAAUCUCGG